AGCUGAUCACUGGGUUUAAAGCGUGCGCAGGCGGUUUUGUAAGACAGAGGUGAAAUCCCCGGGCUCAACCUGGGAACUGCCUUUGUGACUGCAAGGCUGGAGUGCGGCAGAGGGGGAUGGAAUUCCGCGUGUAGCAGUGAAAUGCGUAGAUAUGCGGAGGAGCACCGAUGGCGAAGGCAAUCCCCUGGGCCUGCACUGACGCUCGUGCACGAAAGCGUGGGGAGCAAACA
rnacentral:rRNA from 1 species